rnacentral:rRNA from 1 species
GACGAACGCUGGCGGCGUGCUUAACACAUGCAAGUCGAACGGAAAGGCCCUGCGGUUGUGGGGUGCUCGAGAGGGGAACGGGAGAGGAGCACGUGAGUAACCCCCCCCUGACAUUGGGAUAGCAUCAGGGGACUGGUGCUGAUACUGGACAGGAGCUCCUGCUGCGGGGGGGGGGAGGGAAAGCGGCGGCGGUUGGGGAUGGACUCGCGGCGUAUGAGCUUGGUGGGGGGGUAGGGGCUUACCAAGGCGGUGACGGGUAGCCGGCCUGAGAGGGUGACCGGCCACAAUGGGACUGAGACACGCCGCAGGCUGCUACGGGAAGCAGUGGGCGAGAGUAUUACGCAAUGGGCGGAAGCCUGAUGUAGCAACGCCGCGCGCGGGAUGACGGACUUCGGGUUGUAAACCGCUUUGGCCGGUGACGAGGCGCGAGUGACGGUAAUGGGUAAAGAAGCACCGGCUAACUACGUG